GUGAGACAUCUUCAGGACAGACAAACAUCACAGCUGAACCUGGACAUGACGUCUCUCUGCCAUGUAGAGCUGGACAUGAUGGAGACAUCGAUGCUGUGGA